rnacentral:rRNA from 1 species
AGCCCGUGAAGCCGUUCCGGACCCUUCGGGGAAUGGAAAGUGGUGGAGCCGGUGGCCCGAGCUGGUAGUAGGUGAGUGAUGGGGUGACGCAGGAAGGUAGUCCAUCCCGGGCGGUGGUUGUCCCGGGGUAAGGGUGUAGGACGUCAGGUAGGUAAAUCCGCCUGGCAAUAGUCUGAGACCUGAUGCCGAGCCGAUUGUGGUGAAGUGGAUGAUCCUAUGCUGUCGAGAAAAGCCUCUAGCGAGUUUCAUGGCGGCCCGUACCCUAAACCGACUCAGGUGGUCAGGUAGAGAAUACCGAGGCGUUCGGGUGAACUAUGGUUAAGGAACUCGGCAAAAUGCCCCCGUAACUUCGGGAGAAGGGGGGCCAUGUCUGGUGAUCCGAUUUACUCGGUGAGCUGGGUGUGGCCGCAGAGACCAGCGAGAAGCGACUGUUUACUAAAAACACAGGUCCGUGCGAAGCCGUAAGGCGAUGUAUACGGACUGACGCCUGCCCGGUGCUGGAACGUUAAGGGGACCGGUUAGUCACAUUUCGGUGUGGCGAAGCUGAGAACUUAAGCGCCAGUAAACGGCGGUGGUAACUAUAACCAUCCUAAGGUAGCGAAAUUCCUUGUCGGGUAAGUUCCGACCUGCACGAAUGGCGUAACGACUUCUCGACUGUCUCAACCAUAGGCCCGGUGAAAUUGCAUUACGAGUAAAGAUGCUCGUUUCGCGCAGCAGGACGGAAAGACCCCGGGACCUUUACUACAGUUUGAUAUUGGUGUUCGGUUCGGCUUGUGUAGGAUAGGUGGGAGACUGUGAAGCAUGCACGCCAGUGUGUGUGGAGUCGUCGUUGAAAUACCACUCUGGUCGUGCUGGAUGUCUAACCUGGGUCCGUGAUCCGGAUCAGGGACAGUGUCUGAUGGGUAGUUUAACUGGGGCGGUUGCCUCCUAAAGAGUAACGGAGGCGCCCAAAGGUUCCCUCAGCCUGGUUGGUAAUCAGGUGUUGAGUGUAAGUGCACAAGGGAGCUUGACUGUGAGACCGACGGGUCGAGCAGGGACGAAAGUCGGGACUAGUGAUCCGGCGGUGGCUUGUGGAAGCGCCGUCGCUCAACGGAUAAAAGGUACCCCGGGGAUAACAGGCUGAUCUUCCCCAAGAGUCCAUAUCGACGGGAUGGUUUGGCACCUCGAUGUCGGCUCGUCGCAUCCUGGGGCUGGAGUCGGUCCCAAGGGUUGGGCUGUUCGCCCAUUAAAGCGGUACGCGAGCUGGGUUUAGAACGUCGUGAGACAGUUCGGUCCCUAUCCGCUGUGCGCGUAGGAAUAUUGAGAAGGGCUGUCCCUAGUACGAGAGGACCGGGACGGACGAACCUCUGGUGUGCCAGUUGUUCUGCCAAGGGCAUGGCUGGUUGGCUACGUUCGGGAGGGAUAACCGCUGAAAGCAUCUAAGCGGGAAGCCUGCUUCGAGAUGAGUAUUCCCACCUCCUUGAGAGGGUAAGGCUCCCAGUAGACGACUGGGUUGAUAGGCCGGAUAUGGAAGC